GACAACGGUCCAGCCUAGCAUCCAGAUUCCGGAAGUUAUACAGGCGACAACGGUCCAGCUGUUACAUAUCUAGAUGCUAGUCCCGAUUGAAUAGAAGUAUUCUGCACAUUGUUCAUUGAUGAUGUGAAGUUAUAGGCAUAGGAUCCAAAAGCAUGGAACCCAUUUAGUACAAAUAAAUGGAAGACAAAUAAACCACCCACAAACCAUACACAGAAAACAAUAGAUAAUCAAAAUAAUUGAUGUCGGUGUCUUCAACAUGGCCUUCCAUAUUGGCAAUUGCUCGGCUGCUCUAAUCUUCCAAAUUGAAGUAUUCUAGCAGGUUUAUGGAACCCAAUAGAAGGAUAAUACAUACAUGCAGAGCAAUGUCGUCGAGUAUACAAUAAUAUAGAAGAACCGAUAAUUAAGCUAAAGACAGAUUGAUGGUCAGGUGAAUUAAAUAAGAGAUUGUAGAGUCCUCUAUAAUAAUGGGUCAAAAAGACAGUCAUCGAUUUUGAAUGGAAGUGCCCCCCAAUAGUAUUGCUUUCUAAAUUUAGGAUAAACAUAGAGAGAGAACUGGGUAUACUCUAUUGAACUGCACUGCAAACUCGAUUUUUUAGCCAAGGGAAAGAACGAGGGAAUUAAUAAGGUAUACAUGAUGAAAAACAAAUAAAAUUCACUCUAUACCUUUCUGAAAUUCAAUGAAACUGAAACCACAAUGUUUACUGAUUGUGUUAAAUGCCUUAUCACAUUCACAUAUUAUAGAAAGAGAGAUAAGCAGCAUACCCACGCAAAAACCAGGCUGUCUAAUGGGUUCAUCUACAUGAUCAAAAUUCAAUAUGCGUUUUUCUGCCUCUCCAUUUAGCCAUUUGAUCUACUCCUCGG
rnacentral:lncRNA from 1 species